GGCGUAAAGAGCUAGUAGGCGGCUUGUCGCGUCUGCUGUGAAAGCCCGGGGCUUAACCCCGGGUCUGCAGUGGGUACGGGCAGGCUAGAGUGUGGUAGGGGAGGCUGGAAUUCCUGGUGUAGCGGUGGAAUGCGCAGAUAUCAGGAGGAAAACCGAUGGCGAAGGCAGGUCUCUGGGCCAUUACUGACGCUGAGAAGCGAAAGCGUGGGGAGCGAACAGGAUUAGAUACCCUGGUAGUCCACGCCGUAAACGUUGGGCGCUAGGUGUGGGUCCCAUUCCACGGGGUCCGUGCCGCAGCUAACGCAUUAAGCGCCCCGCCUGGGGAGUACGGCCGCAAGGCUAAAACUCAAAGGAAUUGACGGGGGCCCGCACAAGCGGCGGAGCAUGUGGAUUAAUUCGAUGCAACGCGAAGAACCUUACCUGGGCUUGACAUACACCGGAUCGGGCUAGAGAUAGUCUUUCCCUUUGUGGCUGGUGUACAGGUGGUGCAUGGUUGUCGUCAGCUCGUGUCGUGAGAUGUUGGGUUAAGUCCCGCAACGAGCGCAACCCUUGUCUUAUGUUGCCAGCAUUUGGUUGGGGACUCAUGAGAGACUGCCGGGGUCAACUCGGAGGAAGGU
rnacentral:rRNA from 1 species